CUCUCUCUCUCUCUCUCUCUCUCUCUCUCUCUCUCUCUUCACUUAUUCCUCUUCACCGCCACACCCUCGCCUCUAGCAAAGCAAAACAGAGACACCACCGCCUCCGUCAGUGAAGCACGGUCUCUCGUGUCGGAUCUCUGACCCGUGGUUUGAUGGGUGGAGAGAAACGGUGAUGGAGAAAAAGUCGGUGGCGUGGAUGGUGAGGGAAUGAGAGGAGAAUUUUGGACCAUAUGAGUGUGAGAUGAGUUGGAGAGCUGCAGAGCUGAGUUUGGAAUAUGCAGGUUAUGAGGUUCUGAGGCAUUUCAUGAGAUGUAUUGCUCGAGAGCGUGCUGGGUUGACUGAAACAUGCUGGAAUCAUAGUGUCUGAACUUUGAUCUCGUGUUUGUUUUUCAGAAAAUACAAUUCAAGAUCAAUUGAAGAAAGGUUAAAAGAGACAAGACAUGAGAGAGAGACAUGAUAGACGAGGGAAGUCAUGAGUGUGAAUCCCCGCUUGGGAGCGCUUUGGUGAGGUAGGGUAUCUUGGCUUUGAAUGAUCGAUCUAGGUGGUGGAAAAAGGCUCAUAUCAUACGGGAGUGAGCUGGGUUGGACCAUGGAGUACUUUUCCAGUCAACAGUUGGUACUCAAUUCGCAAGCUCAUAAAAAUAUACUGACAAACUCUGUUCAUUUUAAUACUUGUAGUUUUAUCAUAAAAUAUGAAUAAUAUAAAACAUGAA